rnacentral:tRNA from 1 species
GAGGGUAUAGCUCAGUGGUAGAGUGCAUGCCUAGCAUGCACAAGGUUCUGGGUUCAAUCCCCAGAACCUCCA